CAAAACUAAUCCAUUCUUCAAAAAAUUAUUAUUUUGAAUAAUGUUCAUUUCAAUGUUCCUUAAUUGCUGUCCAGUAAUCAAGCAAUUAUUUCGCUGUAACUAAACUUAUAUAUCGAGCUCAAUGCUUUUCCACACCCCCAAAACAAAUUUUGAAUGGUACACGCAAACUUUCGAAAACUUACCGAGUAAGUUAUUUUUACGCAACCGAGAGUUUUUCAAUGUUAACUUUCUCUUGCAUACUUUUUGUUUCUUAUUUUGUAUGCAACCUAAAAGAUAUUUCAAUAAAACUUUUGCGUUGAGUACUUUUACACCAGCCAUUUUGUUUGUCGGACGGACUGAAAAUUUUAACGCGUUUAGUUAAAGUUAAAAAACCGAAUUUUCCACCUUAAAUCGUUAUGUGAUACAAGUUGAAUCAGUGCAUGUUAUGUCGGUUGCGGUCGGCGGAAGGCAUCUAGUUCCGGCGAUGAUUCUGUUCAGUACCUGCACCAGGAUUCGGACCGCUAGAUGCUGCAGCAACACGGGAGAAGCCAGUGGUUCCGUCGAUGUCAACGAAGGACGGAACAUGAGGCGUUCCGGUUGGACGAACCUACUUCUUUAAGUUUCACCAAGCAAAGCUACUGGGAAAAAUCAGUCAUAACAACACCAGCAGAAAAAUUGAUGUUCCAGUGUCUCUGGAAGGAGUACCGGUGAGGUCAAGGAAAAGUAAACAACGUUAAAACUAAGGAAUUUCAAUGGAAGGAGUUGAAGGAGAAAGUCGACGCCGAAACUGAAAACGCGACCAAUGCAGUGGGAAUUAAUAAACCGUUGCGGCAGCUUCGGUUGGUGCGAUAACGAUGUCAAUCCCUCCGGUCAGAAAGCCAGUUGUAUCACCGGCACUGGCCACCGCUAGCAAUUUGCUUACCGUCUUUGUACGAUAGGGUCGGCAUAGAAUUCGUUCUCAGCUAUGGAUUAGGCCAUGGCUGCGACGCUGGCGGCCACCGAAGUUCCCGAGAACCCUGCCCCAAAAAUGGAUGAACAAGAAACCGCACCGACAUGCUGAAUCCUGAACAAAAAUUACGGCAACAGGGUCAUCAACUACAUUAUAACAUUCGCUCUGCUGAUCCAUGCUACAUGUGACUUUAAUGGUUUUCUAUCAUGCACACGUUCUUCAAAACCACGUUAAAAAUCAAAAUUCAGGAUGUGGUUCUUGCUUCCGGAACAACAAGCACAGGUACCUGGUGGCAAGCGACAGUGAGGAAACAUUCGAGGCAACCUGGGCCAAGA